CAGUCUGAUAUUUUGUUGAGUUUUCAUUUCAAACAAUACGGAAAUCGCGAAAGGAUUAGCUAUUUGAACCGUCAUGUACAUAUCGUGUGUACUUUUUAAUAGUAUGAAGACCUUCGGGACUGUUCUAACGCUCUGUGUUAUGUGCGUUUGCGUAAAUGGAUUUUUAUUCGGGCGACAACAUCCUCUCUUUGGAAAUGAUCCGGAUAUGCUGACUGCCGCCCUACUGUUCGGCCUUGAUGGAAACGAGCUAAUGGCCCUGCAGUCUCUUUCGCAGCCGGACGCGCGUGCACGAAGCCAGUUUCAGAGGGACAUUUCUGUUCUCUCAAUGCUGGGUCUCAUUGACGGAGCGGACGCUCCGGACAACAAAGGACCCGGCGCGGCAGGAAGGGGAGGCGGGAAGAACGCGGCUGGUGCAGCGGCCGGCGGUGAAGGUGGUCCUGGUGGUGAAGGCGGUGAAGGCGGUGCCGCAGUUAAGAAAGCGGCGCCUAAAGAACGCGCAAGAGGAGCAGCUAGGGGCGGGGCAGCUCAACCCGCACCAACAACUCCAGCCCCGCCCCGCAGAACCAGACAGCCAAGACACUAAUUUAGACCAUUUUUUCUUAAUAAGACCAUCGAGAAGUAAGAGAGGGAUGCAUUCGUCAAAAUACCUGGGCAUGUUUCCUGGUUCAGAUGCUUGAUAUUGGCGUCUUAAAAUAACCUGGCAAGAUAUGAUAUUAUAAGGCGGAAAAGUUGUUGUCUCCACUACCUUCUCAGACAAUUAGCGUAGGUAGCUUGGCCAACCUUUUUCGAUAGACAUUUUUACUAUACACGUGCUAUUUAUGUUGUAGUAUUUUUGUCAUGUGAAUGUUAAGUUUAUAACCGUUAAUAAUAUUUUUUUUCAACUCAAAGACAAGGUUUUAAUUGUAAUUUCAUCUUCGAAUCUAGUUGACGAUUUAAAAAAAAAACAAUUUCAUCGAAGAGUUAAAUAACAUGUGGAUUUAUAUAUUUUAUUUUUAUAACUCUCAAAAGAACAUCAAAUAGUACAUUUUAGGCUUACCAAAACAUAUUGAUUAAUCCAUAAAGUUACAAGGGCUUGUUAAUUAACAGUUUGGCGAAAUGACAAUAACAAAACAAUAGUUAUCGCUUCAAAAAGCACCAUAUUUAAACAAAACGCUCCUGACAAAGAAGCAUGUUUUAAAUGUACGAUAGUUAAUUUAGAAUCAUCAAUGGAAACCGUUAAACGUUUUAAGCGUUUGUAACUUUUUCCAUCGAUAGCUAAGCAAAAAAAGUGUUUUGUUAAAAUAGAGUUUCAAUAUCGAUUCAGAUUCCUAGAUCGACUGUAGCGAGUUAACUUUUGUUUCUAAAGGUCUUCGUUUCGAUCCCCAAAUGCAGACACAUUCCAUGUUAUAGUAAUUUCAAACUAUUCCAAAAUAUUACUGUUUUGUUAGUAAAUUAAUUUAAGUAACUUAAACGUUAUUUUAUGUGUGUAAAGUAAUUUCACCAAAUGGUCAGCGCAAGUUAGAUAAACAAUAUGUAAGACAAUAAAAACGUUCAAAGUUGUAUCCGUGUUGGAUAAAAAGAUUUGUAAUUGUUGUCUUACAUGUUAAACAAUAGGUAUGAUAUUAUUAAGAUAAAAAUAUUCGAAUACAAUAUAAUUGUUCAAACAGUUCACUACGUUUUAAUACAAUGUUAUUGUAAGAUAGGUGUUGAUAUUUAUUGUUAUUCCCUUUCUCAAUCAAUCCUUUCAAUGCUAUAAUUUGUGAAUUUAAUAUUUGUGUAGUUUAUUUAGAUAAAAUAUUUUUCUUACAUAUUUGUAGGAAAUACUAAAUUACAGCGCAUAUGGCUUCUAACACAUUUUAUGUUUUAAUAACAUACAUAAACAUUAUUAAAUUAUUGUGCGUUAAUCAUAAGUAGAAUAAAUGUACCAACACAGUAUGAACUGUCCGGAAUUUUUCAAUAUGAACAUUUAAUCAUUAAUUAUUUAAUAUAAUAAUUCUAUUUUAAAUAUUGAAAACUCAUCAUAUAUAUUUAACAUUGAUUAGUUGAAGUGAUAUUGAUUCUUUAAAAACCGCUUAACAAGGCACACAUCAGUAUUUACUUUAGUUCCAAAAUAUUGAAAUGAUGGUCAGUGCCAUGGGUUAACAUUAACAUACUAAUUGUAAAUAGAUACAAAACAAGUGUGAAAGAUGUGUUCUGUGUCUGGGCGAUCUGUUACCAGUAGCCGAGCCUUCCUCUUUGAAAACGGGGUUAAAUGCAUGAGCGUAAAGUGUCGUACGAGAUAUGCCCGUGAAAUCCACACAGGCUAAUAAGGGACGACACAAUCCACAUAAAUAGAUUUUCUCUAAGGAGAGACCUCCUUUAAACGAAAAAUACAAAAAAAAACGGAAAAUGUCGUCCCAUAUUAGCCUGUGCAAACUACUCAAUCUACUCUGGGGCGACACUUUACGCUCAUGCAUUAAGCCAUACUUUCUUAGAGCUAGGCUGAAUUAAAUUGGUGUCCGUAUACUUAUGUGGACACUGUUUGUCUAAACUUUGUUAUUUGUUGGUUGUCCAUUAAAAGAAUAUUUAUAUAUA